CUACGGGAGGCAGCAGUGGGGAAUUUUGCGCAAUGGGGGAAACCCUGACGCAGCAAUGCCGCGUGAGUGAUGAGGGCCUUCGGGUUGUAAAGCUCUUUUAGUCAGGAAAAAACAAAUGAUGGUACUGACAGAAACAGCACCGGCUAACUCUGUGCCAGCAGCCGCGGUAAUACAGAGGGUGCAAGCGUUAUUCGGAAUUAUUGGGCGUAAAGCGCACGUAGGUGGUUUGGUAAGUCUGAUGUGAAAUCCCCGGACUCAAUUCGGGAAGUGCAUUGGAUACUGCUAGACUGGAGUAUGGGAGAGGUGAGUGGAAUUCCAGGUGUAGAGGUGAAAUUCGUAGAUAUCUGGAGGAACAACAGAGGCGAAGGCGGCUCACUGGACCAUUACUGACACUGAGGUGCGAAAGCGUGGGGAGCAAACAGGAUUAGAAACCCUUGUAGUCC
rnacentral:rRNA from 1 species